rnacentral:rRNA from 1 species
UGGGGUAUAUUGGACAACGGGCGAAAGCCUGAUCCAGCCAUGCUGCGUGUGUGAAGAAUGUCGUCGGAUUGUAAAGCACUUUAAGUUGGGAGGAAGGGCAGUAAGCGAAUACCUUGCUGUUUUGACGUUACCGACAGAAUAAGCACCGGCUAACUCUGUGCCAGCAGCCGCGGUAAUACAGAGGGUGCAAGCGUUAAUCGGAAUUACUGGGCGUAAAGCGCGCGUAGGUGGUUCGUUAAGUUGAAUGUGAAAGCCCCGGGCUCAACCUGGGAACUGCAUCCAAAACUGGCGAGCUAGAGUAGGGCAGAGGGUGGUGGAAUUUCCUGCGUAGCGGUGAAAUGCGUAGAUAUAGGAAGGAACACCAGUGGCGAAGGCGACCACCUGGGCUCAUACUGACACUGAGGUGCGAAAGCGUGGGGAGCAAGCAGG